UACGUAGGGUGCAAGCGUUAAUCGGAAUUACUGGGCGUAAAGCGUGCGCAGGCGGUUGUGCAAGACAGAUGUGAAAUCCCCGGGCUCAACCUGGGAAUUGCAUUUGUGACUGCACGGCUAGAGUGUGUCAGAGGGGGGUAGAAUUCCACGUGUAGCAGUGAAAUGCGUAGAGAUGUGGAGGAACACCGAUGGCGAAGGCAGCCCCCUGGGUUAACACUGACGCUCAGGCACGAAAGCGUGGGGAGCAGACAGG
rnacentral:rRNA from 1 species